rnacentral:pre_miRNA from 1 species
CUUGUACUCCCUCCGUCCAAAAAUACUUGUCAUUGAAAUGGAUGUAUCUAGAUGUAUUUUAGUUCUAGACACAUCCAUUUUGAUGACAAGUAAUUCCGUACGGAGGGAGUAGUUG